rnacentral:tRNA from 1 species
GAGGGUAUAGCUCAGUGGUAGAGUUCUUGCUUAGCAUGCAUGAGGUCCUGGGUUUAAUCCCCAAUACCUCCA